rnacentral:rRNA from 1 species
UGAGGAAUUUUCUGCAAUGGGCGAAAGCCUGACAGAGCAAUACCGCGUGGAGGAUGAAGGCCUACGGGUUGUAAACUUCUUUUCUCAAGGAGGAAGAUCUGACGUUACUUGAGGAAUAAGCAUCGGCUAACCCU